rnacentral:lncRNA from 1 species
GCAGAAUACCACGUUACAUCCUGAUACACCUGCCUUCACACUUCCUGCUCAAACCAACCCAAGGAGAGGAGAAAUCUUCCACAUAGCAAUCAUUGCCACUAAAUACACACCCUUGUGAAAACUGGCUUAAAAGCACGGCACGGUGGGCACGGUCAGAUGGCAGAGCUACAGCAGCAGUUUGGGCACUGGGGGAUGUUCCCACCACCCCAAUGGUAAUAUCACCCUCUCCUUGCCAUGCUGCUGAUGGGAAAGGAUCCUGGAUCCUGAGCCCCUGGCACAGCAAUAGGAAGGGGGGCACCAGGUGACGACGGAAGGGAAUGGGAUGAUCAAAAUAUCGAGAGAGCUUAACCCAAGCAAGCAGAGGAUUUAAUAAACUCCUGGCCUAGCCCGCUGCCUGCA